rnacentral:rRNA from 1 species
CCUACGGGGCGCACCAGUAGGGAAUCUUCGGCAAUGGACGAAAGUCUGACGGAGCAACGCCGCGUGAGCGAAGAAGGCCUUCGGGUCGUAAAGCUCUGUUGUUAGGGAAGAACAAGUAACGCAGUAACUGGCGUUACCGUGACGGUACCUAACGAGAAAGCCACGGCUAACUACGUGCCAGCAGCCGCGGUAAUACGUAGGUGGCAAGCGUUGUCCGGAAUUAUUGGGCGUAAAGCGCGCGCAGGCGGUUCCUUAAGUCUGAUGUGAAAGCCCACGGCUCAACCGUGGAGGGUCAUUGGAAACUGGGGGACUUGAGUGCAGAAGAGGAAAGUGGAAUUCCACGUGUAGCGGUGAAAUGCGUAGAGAUGUGGAGGAACACCAGUGGCGAAGGCGACUUUCUGGUCUGUAACUGACGCUGAGGCGCGGAAGCGUGGGGGGCAAACAGGAUUAGAUACCCGUGUAGUC